UUUAAAUUAUUUUCACUCUUCUCUUUAUUGCCACCUCCUCCUCCUGGAGAUCACAGCUAAUGUCACCUUUACCAUCUCCUCCACUGGGUAGAGCCUGGACAUCUGGCACCUGGGCACUGGUCCUGCCUGGGCACUACCACUUCCAUUCUCACGACAGGAGCAAAGUGCCUGCCCUGUGGAGUGCCUUGACACUUUACCCCAAUAGCACGCUUAACACAAAGGAUCUCAGAGUGUCUUGGGGAAGAUGUGAUCUGUGCCAAGCUCAGUCCUUUUCCUGGACCCUCUGCAGAGAAGCCAGGGCAUUCUCCAGCCUGUGCUAGAAAUGCGACAAGCUCAGGAAUUAAGGUGCAGGAGUUCCCGCCAUGGCUCAGUGGUUAACAAACUCAAUUAGUAUCCAUGAGGACAUGGGUUCAAUCCCUGGCCUUGCUCAGCGGGUUGGGGAUCGGGCACUGCUGUGAACUGUGCUGUAGGUUGCAGGUGCAGCUUGGAUCCAGCAUUGCGAUGACUGUGGUAUAGGCCGGCAGCUACAGGUCCAAUUAGACCCCUAGCCUGGGAGCCCUCCAUACGCUCUAGGUGUGGCCCUAAAAAGACAAAAAGACAAAAAAAUAAAAGAAAUUAAGGUGCACAUUUCAUAGGCAGACACUUCAUCAAGCACGGUCCUGUUCCCUUUGCUAAUCGUUUCAUGCCUGUGCUUCCUGCCUUCCCAGCCAUCCUGAGACCAUCUUGAGGGUAUGGACUGCAGCUUCUAGUUCUCUGCUAAGCCCAUGGUUCUGAGCAUCACAGUGAGGGCUGGAUUCAUAUCAGCUGGUUGUCUCAGCAUCAUCUCCACCAACCUGAGGCACAGGUGCUUCUCCAGGGCAUUUUCCAAGGGGGAAAGUCCAGGAUAAAGUCCCUGACCCCAAGUCUUUAUCUUACACCUGAAAAUACCCUUUCCCCCAGCAAGGACACACUCACAGGCCUCCAGCAUUAGGGCCUGACAUCUUUGGGGGAUGCUUCGCCUACUGCACCACCGCCCACCACCUCUUCUGACCUCGAACGAGUGUCCAAGGGUCCCAGAUCAGCCUCUCUGAGUCGUGCUUAUCCCUCUGAGGUACAGGAAUGACUUUUAUGGAUCCGUUGGCUUCUUCACAGAGUGGUGGUGAGGACUGAGAGGUAAUAUAUAUAUUGAAAGCAUUUUCUAAGCUGUAAAGCCCCACACAAAUGCAAGACAACAUUAUUGCACUGGGAGCGUGGCAAGUUCAACACUUGAGAAAACUAUCAGAUUUUAAAACAUGUGAGGGAAUAGGAAACCAAUGUUAUUCCAAAACCUCAUUUACACCCCACACCAAAGCCUCCCACUCUCCCUGCCUCCGCUCUCCCCUGUGGCUAUAGGGGUGUGACAGAGGCCUGUCUUGGGGGUGGCUUUGUGGCCUGAAAACAAAUCAUUCUUCACAGCUGGCUCCCCGAGUCCAAUAAGCCAGAAGGAAUUGGUAGAGAGAUUUAACGAUAUGUAUUUCAAGAAAAAGAUGAAAAUGUGUCUACUUUUAGGAGAUGCAGUAAAAAUGCAUCAGCCCCACAAUAAACUUGGCAGUGAAGAUGCAUAGAAGGCACACAUAUAAUGCAGUCAGGGCAGUAAUGUCUCAUUUCUAGGGAAAUCCUCUAAGAGAUCAAUUAGAAUUUGCCCCCGCCCAUGCCCUCCCUAUACACAGCCUCUGAACACGGUCCCACCCCUCCAGCUACCUCCAGCCUCUGCAGGGGGCCUGUUGGCUCAAAGCAGCUUGUUCCCCGGUCUCCCUUGGAAGUCUCUAGAAGAGAUGUGGGCUGAAACGGUUUGCAAACCAAUUACACGAGAAGUGGGAAACUGUGGCCCCCAGAUCAAACCUGGCUCAUAAAUUACAGCUUUAUUGGAUCACAGCCAUGCUGAUUCCUUCUAUGAUGGCUUUGUUGCUCUAAUAGAAGAGUUUAAUAAUUCUGAUUGAAAUCAUAUGGCCUGAAAGUCUAAUAUAUAUAUUAUUGGGCCUUUACAGAAAAAGUUUGUUGACAUCUGAAUAACGCCAUUACGUGAUAGGCUGUCUUUAGGCAAAACUGCCUGUAAAACCAAGAACAGGAUGACAGCUAAUUUUUUUGAGCCCUGUUCUGUGCCACGCAUGGCAUUGUGCCCAUAGGAACAGAAUGUCCCCUUAUUUAUUCUCGCAAGCAGUCCCAUGAGGUAGUAAUGCUAGCAGUAUGGCUAGAGGAGAAAACAGGCUCAGGGAAGCUAAGCAACUUUCUCAAGGUCUCAACCUGGAAAACCGGUAGAACUGGCGUUCACACUCAUGUGCGGCUGAUUCCACCACCCUUGCUCUGGCCGCCACUCUCAAGCAUCUGGUUUCCAGAUGGGCAAUUCAGAGACCCUCUUCCAGUCUCCAGCACCUUGCACUUGUUGAGGAUCUGAUUUUCUGUAUCUAAUGUACCUGCAUUGAAUCUCCCAUCAUUCACCUGCCUGCCGUGGCCGCUCUGCUAAGGAGUGAAGAAAGGGAGCCUUCCAAGCCGUCUUCCUCUCCCUUUCCCACCCUGUGCUCCCCAUCCCUGUGCUCAGUGGAUUUUGUCCCACAUUUCUGCAGGACCCGUGUUGCCGCAGUCUCCCCCGACUGUCCCACUCCUGGGCGAGAUUCUGACUGUUCUGGAGCCUCCAGUCUGCACAGAGGGGGGCGCCAACAGAGCCCUGGGAACAGAGGCAUUUGCAUUCCACUUCCCGGGGCUGUUCUGAUCUUACCUGCAAUUCUUCUGACAAAUUCUUAUCAGCGAUGCCCAUGGCGAAGUCUGUGGUGACUUUGUUCAUUCUUAUUAGCUCUGCAGAUUAGCUCUUCACAGCGCUUGGCUGGUUCAUACCGAUUCCUGAUAAAUGUUUUGACUGAUUUUCCUGACUUGGGAGCAGUUGGGGACUGGGGCUGGGUGGAGGCAGAAGACCGUGAGGAGAGGGGUGCUGGCGAGGGGAAGGAGAGAAAAUUGUGGCCAGGAUUACAUCUGGGCUAUAAAAUAUUCAUCACAUGCCUGCAAGAGCAGGGUCAGCACCGCUUCCCCAAGAACUGCUCCCUCCACCAGGCAGCACUUUGAAAUGCACCAGCCCGGGCAGGCUGGGAGCAGCUGGGAGAGGCUUCUGAGAGAAGGGGCCAGUGGAAGUUAAAAGGAAGGAAGAACAAACCAGCUCACUAGGGCUUUCCUGUCCUUCUCGGUCCCUCCCUUCUCACCUGCUCUCCAAGAACAGCUUUUGAUGGCAGAAUACUGAUGUUCCGGGUGGGCUUAGCUGCUCCUGUGCUGGGUUCCUCUUCUCCCUUUUGCUGCCCCAAGAAACCUUCCUGAGAAUUUCAGCCCACCCUUCCUCUCCUUUCCAAGAGGUCCUCCAGCUUCCCUCUUUGAGGACUUCAGACAGUGCUAAUAACAGCGUUCCUCACCGUCUCCUGUAUUUCCCCACCUAGACUGGACUUAGAGUCAUGCCCCUCCCAAGACUAGACACGAGGUACCCAUUUGUAACGUCAUGGCUGAAUUAAAUGAGCUCCUUCCCUUUGGCAGAGUUGGCCAGCAGGUACCACCACACCACCAGUGCUGAAGCAAGGCAGGUGUUGCCGAACGACUUCCACACGCUUUCUUCCCAAACCAAGAUGAAGUUUUCCCCUUGUUCUUAACAAGAGGUUCCAAGCAGCCACUCCUAAUCCAAUGGAAUCAAGAAGGAAAUAAAAACCUCUUUGCUAUCCUGGUUCUUUGGUACCCCCUGUAACUUCCUUGCAAUCAGGCACUACCUUUAGAGUCUAGGAACCUGGUACUGUGACCCCAUAUAAAAUAGGAGUUCCUGUCGUGGUGCAGUGGUUCACGAAUCUGACUAGGAGCCAUGAGGUUGCGGGUUCGGUCCCUGCCCUUGCUCAGUGGGUUAACGAUCCGGCGUUGCCAUGAGCUGCGGUGUAGGUUGCAGACGCGGCUCGGAUCCCGCGUUGCUGUGGCUCUGGCGUAGGCCAGUGGCUACAGCUCCGAUUCGACCCCUAGCCUGGGAACCUCCGUAUGCCCAGGGAAGCGGCCCAAAGAAAUAGCAAAAAGACAAAAUAAAUAAAUAAAAAAUAAACCCUGCACCCACAAAAGAAAGCUAUCCAUCACUUUCCGCAGGUAUCCGGUCAAGGCUUACCCUCUAAAAAAUUCUUUCAUGUGUCUAACCCAAGACCCUGCUGCAGUAGAAUUAUAUUCCUGGGCUUUUCUCCCAUGGGAGAAAAAAGUCAGAUGCUUUGAGAAGUGAUGUUCUCACUCACUGCUCUUUCCCACUGCCCGGAAGUUUAAACUCUGGUGCCCAAGCACCUCACUCUGGAAAAACUCAACUCAUGCCAGCCCCAUGCCUGCUCGUGCCAGCUCCCUGGAAAAUGACCCACACCCCCGAAACUAGAAAGAGGCCUGGAGACUCUUGAAGGUCCUCUCUUGCCGCAGCCAAGUUUACUCAUUAGCCUUUCACCAGAUUUAUCUUCUCCCUGGUAGCCUGCAGCGCUUUGAUUUGUCCUGCUGUCACCAGGACUAAUGUUGAUGGCGGCACCCCCCCGGGGGCGUCAGGCUCUCCAGCCUCCUGCCACAGCCCUCGAGGAAAAUGGAUGAGCAACUGACCCGCAAAAUAAAUACCAGACUUCCAGGUUCUGAUAAAGAUUAAAUAUUGGAGGAGUCAUUUCAAAUGAAUAUAUAAAAGCACAUGGAAGAAGCCUUUUAGACUCCGGCAGAGUGACAUACAGGCAAACAAAGAGAGAUGUCUUUGGGGAAGUUCAGUGGCAGGGAAGUUGGAGGCUCCGAAUGCAAUCUGCCCACAAAUACCCCAGCUGCAGGAAGGAUUCCAAAACAGUCAUCCCUCCCUUUCCCUCCACCCUCCCCACCCAGAUCGUGAAGAAGAGAAAGUGCUAAGCUCCAAAAGCCGCGUGCCAGCAUGAUGCUGAAGUCAGCUCUGGCCCAUCCAACCAAGGGAGAAGCCCCAUUACUCAACACCAUCUGCCUUGGGCGUGGAGCAGCCAAGAGCUAGGAUUACGGGCGGGGAUGGGGCUCUGAGGCCCCAAAGGAGAGAGUUACUGGGGAAGAGCAAGGUCAGGCAUCUCUGAGACAGAACAGGGAGGCGGGAGAGAAGCCAGAUGUCAGCAGAUGGAGCCAGUGUUCCUUGAGCCUGGGGCAGAAUGUGGUUUCUGGUCCGAAACAUGUGCAGAUUGAUUGCACAUCCAGAAACGCCCAAUAACCAGAAUCCCAGGAUCCUGUCUCUAGAAUCAAAUGUUGGAGUUCUCUGGAUCAAAGUUCAAGUGCAGUUAGCAUGGAGAUGGAAGGGGAGAGAGGCAGCCUUGAUUUACCUGGUGCCUGCAGUGCUGGGCCACUUACUCCUCCUGACCGUCCUGGGAGAUGGGCACCGGCAUCCAUUCCUUACAGAAAGGAGGCUGAGGCUGCGGCGAACGGAUGGCCACGAGGCUGGCGUUCGUCCCGCUGCCACAUGCUCAGUUCUCCAUCUCAGUCUGGAAGGCAGAGUCUUGGUGGUGGUCCAGGGACAGCUGUCCAAAUUCCUGAGAACCGGGCUCAGUAUCCAGGUCCCUCC
rnacentral:lncRNA from 1 species